rnacentral:rRNA from 1 species
GACGAAUGCUGGCGGCAGGCCUAACACAUGCAAGUCGAACGGUCCUUCGGGAUAGUGGCGGACGGGUGAGUAACACGUGGGAACGUGCCCUUUGGUUCGGAACAACUCAGGGAAACUUGAGCUAAUACCGAAUGUGCCCUUCGGGGGAAAGAUUUAUCGCCAUUGGAGCGGCCCGCGUCUGAUUAGCUAGUUGGUGAGGUAACGGCUCACCAAGGCGACGAUCAGUAGCUGGUCUGAGAGGAUGAUCAGCCUCAUUGGGACUGAGACACGGCCCAAACUCCUACGGGAGGCAGCAGUGGGGAAUCUUGCGCAAUGGGCGAAAGCCUGACGCAGCCAUGCCGCGUGAAUGAUGAAGGUCUUAGGACUGUAAAAUUCUUUCACCGGGGACGAUAAUGACGGUACCCGGAGAAGAAGCUCCGGCUAACUUCGUGCCAGCAGCCGCCGUAACAC